rnacentral:rRNA from 1 species
UACGUAGGGGGCUAGCGUUAUCCGGAAUUACUGGGCGUAAAGGGUGCGUAGGUGGUUUCUUAAGUCAGAGGUGAAAGGCUACGGCUCAACCGUAGUAAGCCUUUGAAACUGGGAAACUUGAGUGCAGGAGAGGAGAGUGGAAUUCCUAGUGUAGCGGUGAAAUGCGUAGAUAUCGGGAGGAACACCAGUGGCGAAGGCGACCACCUGGCCCAACACUGACCGCUGAGGUGCGAAAGCGUGGGUAGCAAACAGG